AGAGGGUCCGGCGCGAUGACGGAGCGGUAGGCCUCUAAACCUCGUCGUUCCCGGCCUACUCCUCUCCUGCUGCUAACACUGGAUUCCGUCCGGGCUCGAGCUGGAGCGGCCGCUGCAGCUGUGGGGCGUGUUCCAGAUAGAGUACCUGUGGGUCUAAAACAUACGUUAAAAGAGUUGUGGUAACGCAAUGGAAUGACGAUCAC
rnacentral:rRNA from 1 species